UCCCCGUUAGUGUAAUUGGCAAGCACGAGAAUUUCUGGUGUUCUUAGUUUAGGUUCGAGUCCUGGACGGGGAGC
rnacentral:tRNA from 1 species